AAUACGGUGGUGGGGAUGGAGGAUGUCGGUGGCGGCGGAAGAGAUGAGAGAACGGAAAGAGGAAGAAAAUGUUUUUUUCCUAGGGUUGUUUUGGCUGAGGUUGAAGAAAGUGGGAAAAAAAUUCAAUGUUAAGGGAAUACAGUAAGUUCAGUGUUCUUCAACCAUCUAAUGGUUACACAUGUUAUCUUUGUUGUAAAAAAAAAAAAUCAAUUUUUUAUAAAGUCACCCACCGUAGGAGAUCUAUUUAAGUCUCCUACCGGAAACGGCAC
rnacentral:lncRNA from 1 species